rnacentral:rRNA from 1 species
UACAGAGGUCUCGAGCGUUGUUCGGAUUCAUUGGGCGUAAAGGGCGCGUAGGCGGCGGGGUAAGUCUGGUGUGAAAUCUAGGAGCUCAACUCCUAAACUGCACUGGAUACUGCUCUGCUGGAGGACUGGAGAGGAGACUGGAAUUCACGGUGUAGCAGUGAAAUGCGUAGAUAUCGUGAGGAAGACCAGUGGCGAAGGCGGGGUCUCUGGACAGUUCCUGGACGCUGA